GAUGAACGCUGGCGGCGUGCCUAAUACAUGCAAGUCGAGCGAACAGACGAGGAGCUUGCUCCUCUGAUGUUAGCGGCGGACGGGUGAGUAACACGUGGAUAACCUACCUAUAAGACUGGGAUAACUUCGGGAAACCGGAGCUAAUACCGGAUAAUAUAUUGAACCGCAUGGUUCAAUAGUGAAAGACGGUUUUGCUGUCACUUAUAGAUGGAUCCGCGCCGCAUUAGCUAGUUGGUAAGGUAACGGCUUACCAAGGCAACGAUGCGUAGCCGACCUGAGAGGAUGAUCGGCCACACUGGAACUGAGACACGGUCCAGACUCCUACGGGAGGCAGCAGUAGGGAAUCUUCCGCAAUGGGCGAAAGCCUGACGGAGCAACGCCGCGUGAGUGAUGAAGGUCUUCGGAUCGUAAAACUCUGUUAUUAGGGAAGAACAAAUGUGUAAGUAACUAUGCACGUCUUGACGGUACCUAAUCAGAAAGCCACGGCUAACUACGUG
rnacentral:rRNA from 1 species